rnacentral:rRNA from 1 species
GAUGAACGCUGACAGAAUGCUUAACACAUGCAAGUCAACUGUGGCGGACGGGUGAGUAACGCGUAAAGAACUUGCCUCACAGAUAGAGACAACAUUUGGACACGAAUGCUAAUACCUGAUACUGUGAGAGAGCUUUGCGUCCCCUUAGAUAGUUGGAGAGGUAACGGCUCACCAAGGCGAUGAUGGGUAGCCGGCCUGAUAGGGUGAUCGGCCACAAGGUGACUGAGUCACGGCACUUACUCCGUCGCGAGUCAGAAGUGGGGAAUAAUGUACAAUGUACCAAAGUCUGAUCCAGCAAUGCUGUGUGAACGAUUAAGUUUUCGGAAUGUAAAGUGCUUUCAGUUGGGAAGCGGUACCAACAGAAGAAGGGACGGCUAAAUACGUGCCAGCAGCCGCGGUAAUAC